UUUUUUACUUAAUAAUAUAUUUUAUUAGUGGAUGUAUUGUAUGGCAAUUGGAGAACUCAUACAUUUUCUAGUCCACAAGAGCCACACAUAAUCCAUACAUUCAAUGUAUUCCAGAAUAGCAUUCAAUAUUUAUGAGACAAUGUCUUAUAAACUUCAACAUAUUAUGAAUUAAAAAAACACAACCAUGUAAUUAU